GGUCCAUCGAGAGUCGACGGAGGGAUUGGCCCCAUGAUGUCGCAGCAACCUUCAUGUGAAAGGUGCUAAUUCCAACAGUUUUCGUCUACUGGAAGAUGGGUA
rfam:Megasphaera genomosp. type_1 str. 28L contig00064, whole genome shotgun sequence.